AGAGUUUGAUCCUGGCUCAGAGCGAACGCUGGCGGCAGGCCUAACACAUGCAAGUCGAGCGCCCCGCAAGGGGAGCGGCAGACGGGAGAGUAACACGUGGGAACGUACCCUUCAGUUCGGAACAACCCAGGGAAACUUGGGCUAAUACCGGAUACGUCCGAAAGGAGAAAGAUUUAUCGCUGAGGGAUCGGCCCGCGUCUGAUUAGCUAGUUGGUGAGGUAACGGCUCACCAAGGCGACGAUCAGUAGCUGGUCUGAGAGGAUGAUCAGCCUCACUGGGACUGAGACACGGCCCAGACUCCUACGGGAGGCAGCAGUGGGGAAUAUUGGACAAUGGGCGCAAGCCUGAUCCAGCCAUGCCGCGUGGGUGAUGAAGGCCCUAGGGUUGUAAAGCCCUUUCGGCGGGGAAGAUAAUGACGGUACCCGCAGAAGAAGCCCCGGCUAACUUCGUGCCAGCAGCCGCGGUAAUA
rnacentral:rRNA from 1 species